CUACGGGAGGCAGCAGUGGGGAAUAUUGCACAAUGGAGGAAACUCUGAUGCAGCAACGCCGCGUGGAGGAUGACACUUUUCGGAGCGUAAACUCCUUUUAUAUAGGAAGAAGAUGACGGUACUAUAUGCAUCAGCGCCGGCUAACUCCGUGCCAGCAGCCGCGGUAAUACGGAGGGCGCAAGCGUUACUCGGAAUCACUGGGCGUAAAGAGCGUGUAGGCGGAUUAAAAAGUCAGAAGUGAAAUCCUAUAGCUUAACUAUAGAACUGCUUCUGAAACUCUUAAUCUAGAAUAUGGGAGAGGUAGAUGGAAUUUCUGGUGUAGGGGUAAAAUCCGUAGAGAUCAGAAGGAAUACCGAUUGCGAAGGCGAUCUACUAGAACAUUAUUGACGCUGAGACGCGAAAGCGUGGGGAGCAAACAGGAUUAGAUACCCCCGUAGUC
rnacentral:rRNA from 1 species